CGCAUCUGUGCAUGCAGCAUAUCAAUAAGCGGAGGAAAAGAAACUAACAAGGAUUCCCCUAGUAACGGCGAGUGAAGCGGGAAGAGCUCAAAUUUGAAAUCUUAAAGGGUUUCCCUUUACGAAUUGUAGUUUAAAGAAGUGUUUUCUGUUGAGGUUUUGGUAAAAGUUCUUUGGAAUAGGACAUCAUAGAGGGUGAGAAUCCCGUAUUUGACCUUUACUUUCAACUUUGUGAUACACUUUCAAAGAGUCGGAUUGUUUGGGAAUGCAGUCCAAAAUGGGUGGUAAAUUUCAUCUAAAGCUAAAUAUUGGCGAGAGACCGAUAGCGAACAAGUACCGUGAGGGAAAGAUGAAAAGAACUUUGAAAAGAGAGUUAAACAGUACGUGAAAUUGUCAAAAGGGAAGCGUUUGACACCAGUGUUGUUUUUCUGAAAAUCAAUUAAAGAACUGUUCAUGCUAAGUUGUUUAGACUUUAUCAGCUAACUGUUUAGUUUUGAGCUUUUCUUUAAUGCACUUUUCAGGUUAACAAGUCAACAUCAAUUUCUUUUGCUGUAAAAAAGCUUGAGGAAGGUGGCUUGAGAUUCGUCUUAAGUGUUUAUAGCCUCUUGCCUAUGCAGUCGGAGAGAUUGAGGUCUGCAGCGUAGAUCCUUCGGGGCUAAAUGCAUUUGUGCUAAGUUAUAGCAUUUUAUAGACAACUUGUUGACUAUGAUUUGUCUUGUAGCUUACUCGCUUAUGUUAUUUUACCUACGCUUAGGAUGUUGAAGAUGUAGCACAUCAU
rnacentral:rRNA from 1 species